rnacentral:rRNA from 1 species
CCCCUAGAUGUUCUGGGCCGCACGCGCGCUACACUGAACAGUUCAACAAGUCUUAACCUUGGCCGAUAGGUCUGGGUAAUCUUUGAAACCGUAUCGUGAUGGGGAUAGAACAUUGCAAUUAUUGUUCUUCAACGAGGAAUGCCUAGUAAGCGCGAGUCAUCAACUCGCGUUGAUUACGUCCCUGCCCUUUGUACACACCGCCCGUCGCUCCUACCGAUUGAACGUGCUGGUGAAGCGUUAGGACUGGCGCCACGUGUCGGGUCCCCCUUCAACGGGGCGCCGGGAAUUUCGUUGAACCCUCCCGUUUAGAGGAAGGAGAAGUCGUAACA